GACGAACGCUGGCGGCGUGCCUAAUACAUGCAAGUUGAGCGCUGAAGGUUGGUACUUGUACCGACUGGAUGAGCAGCGAACGGGUGAGUAACGCGUGGGGAAUCUGCCUUUGAGCGGGGGACAACAUUUGGAAACGAAUGCUAAUACCGCAUAAAAACUUUAAACACAAGUUUUAAGUUUGAAAGAUGCAAUUGCAUCACUCAAAGAUGAUCCCGCGUUGUAUUAGCUAGUUGGUGAGGUAAAGGCUCACCAAGGCGAUGAUACAUAGCCGACCUGAGAGGGUGAUCGGCCACAUUGGGACUGAGACACGGCCCAAACUCCUACGGGAGGCAGCAGUAGGGAAUCUUCGGCAAGGGACGAAAGUCUGACCGAGCAACGCCGCGUGAGUGUAGAAGGGUUUCGGAUCGUAAAACUCUGUUGGUAGGGAAGAACGUUGGUGAGAGUGGAAAGCUCAUCAAGUGACGGUAACUACCCAGAAAGGGACGGCUAACUACGUG
rnacentral:rRNA from 1 species